rnacentral:rRNA from 1 species
AGCAGCCGCGGUAAUUCCAGCUCCAAUAGCGUAUAUUAAAGUUGUUGCAGUUAAAAAGCUCGUAGUUGAAUUUCGGGAUCAGUACGCUGGUCGUGCCUUUGGUAUGUACUGGUGUCACUGAUUCCUCCCUUCUGAAGAACCGUUAUGCCAUUUAUUUGGUGUGGCGGGGAAUCAGGACUGUUACUUUGAAAAAAUUGAGUGUUUAAAGCAGGCUCGCGCUUGAAUACAUUAGCAUGGAAUAAUGAAAUAGGACGUUUGAUUCUUAUUUUGUUGGUUUCUAGGAUCGACGUAAUGAUUAAUAG